rnacentral:rRNA from 1 species
CCUACGGGUGGCAGCAGUGAGGAAUAUUGGUCAAUGGCCGAGAGGCUGAACCAGCCAAGUCGCGUGAGGGAAGACGGCCCUACGGGUUGUAAACCUCUUUUGUCGGGGAGCAAAGCGAGUCACGUGUGACUCAUUGAGAGUACCCGAAGAAAAAGCAUCGGCUAACUCCGUGCCAGCAGCCGCGGUAAUACGGAGGAUGCGAGCGUUAUCCGGAUUUAUUGGGUUUAAAGGGUGCGCAGGCGGAGGUGCAAGUCAGCGGUCAAAUUGCGGGGCUCAACCCCGUACUGCCGUUGAAACUGCAUGCCUUGAGUGCGCGAGAGGGAGGCGGAAUGCGUGGUGUAGCGGUGAAAUGCAUAGAUAUCACGCAGAACUCCGAUUGCGAAGGCAGCAUACCGGCGCGCAACUGACGCUCAUGCACGAAGGCGUGGGUAUCGAACAGGAUUAGAUACCCUUGUAGUC